GCGGGAGUGGUGUUAACGGCAACACGAAUCCCUUCCAAGGAUUAGCUGUGGGUUCGAUUCCCACCUCCUGCA
rnacentral:tRNA from 2 species